CGGCCCGGAGCGAGCUCCGCGCGUCUGGGCGGGAGCCCAGGGCUCCCCGGGUUCAAAGGGCCGCAGCCCCCGGGAAUGCCCUCCUCGCUGUGCCCCGGGGGCAGAAGCGGACUGCUGGGCGGUGGGACCGGCCUGGGCCACGGACAUGUGAACAUGGGCAAAUACUUUUUAAUUAUCCUGAUCAAGUGUGGAGGACAUCUUUUCGCUGACCCCACUUGUAAUCAACGGUGAUAUCCUAGAAGGAGCCUACACUUCGUAAUUCUAACUUUGGAAAUCUCUCGUGGUGAGUGAAUUGACACGGCAUGCAAUUUCUCACCCAGCUCUGGAGCUUUGCCUAAACUACAUUCCUUAAGGUGAGCAAAUGAAAGAUGGAGGCCGUGAUACAGAUGGACGUGUAUCCGACUCUUCAAUAAUGCUACUGUUUGAUGUCCUCUCUUACUUUUUCAUCUUCUCGAUUUUUUUUUCUUUUUGCACAAAAAAGGUAAAUUCAUCGAAAGCAAUGGGAAGCUGUUUUUGAGAGAUUUUUUCCCAUAGUUCCUACUCCUGUACAGUCCAGUGUAAUGUCCCCUCUUAUACAGCUUGGACUUUUUCAUCCGAUGAGAAAUGUCUUAAAGGGGCUUUGACAAAUUGUUCCAAUUUCUACAUCCCCUGGGGUGGGAUCAAGCCUCCUUUGUAUUAAAUUGAACAGACAUCUAUUUUAUUAAAUAGAUGGACAUCACGAGCAUGAGUUACCAAUGAAAUGCAAUUAUAAAUAAAGUG